rnacentral:lncRNA from 1 species
GGUUACUUUCCUUUUCCCAUUAGGAUCAUCUCCUCCUUGAAUUCCUCUUCUAGCAUAUUUCACCUUUGGUGCCACACAUUGGUCUCAGGACCCACUUUGGAUACCCUUUCGGUGACAUCUCAUUGAGCAGUUCUCAACCCAUGCCGCUUAAAUUUCUAUGUUGUCUGCCCCACAGAUUGCUAUAACUCCUGGUUUGGAGUUCCCUUAUCAACCAUAGAUCCAACCUUGCCCCACCCAAGCUCUUCACCAAGAAGACAGAUUAAACACAAAGCUGAGCUCCUGUAAACUCAGCUUGUGGUAGGCAUGUGAGCAGAACUGGAGCAAGUUCACAUGGCCGUGGGAGAUCUGCAUGGUAGGCUUCUACCUGACAUAGCCUGAGCUUCAGGAAGUCGUGCCUGCUGAGCAUCCUCGAGGGGCCGUGGUUACGCCCACACUAUUGCAUUCCCUGAAAGGCAAACUUCUGUCCUACUUUUUCUGUGACUCACUCGGUGCCUGUUCCCUCUUGGAAUUAACCCAAGGAAAAGAGUCCUCUCAGCAAAACAAAGUUAGCUUGCUUCCUUGUGUGUGGCCUGCUUAUUUUAUUUUUUAGAGCUAUACUUCAGAAGUGCAGAGCAGCCUGAGGGCCCUUUUUCUCCAUUUUAUUUUGUGUGUCUUCUUAAAAAUUGUAUCUUGGCUAGAACUACUCUUUCUUCCUUGGUGGUUUUAUAACUCACAAGGUGAAUGGUGAUACCCUGAAAGAUCAACAGGAAUACCCUCAGGGUGGGAAUAUAAAUCUAGUCCCUCUUACUCUAUCCUGCCCAGAAGUGGAAAUAUGAUCCUUCCAUUAUAAAAUAAAGAAUGGUCCUAAGAUUUGAGAACUCCAAAAGGACUUAGUGUUACGGAAUAAAGGUGAACAACCAUUUGGGACUGUUUAUCUACUUGCUAUCUCUCUUUUGAGAGAGAAUAAUGUCUCAAGAGCUCCAUUCUCUGAUGCCUGCAGUAUGUUAUGAAUCAGUAGAGAAUCUUUCUGUCUGUGCUUGGAUCUUGGGAUGUGAACUUGGAAAAGCUCUAAGGCAGCCCAGGAAAAGGCAGACAAGAAACCAUCAUGAAUGGGUGCUGCAUGAGCAGAGAUUGUCAAGAAAAUGGGAUGGUAAUUUGCAUAGGUCCACAAAGCGAACAUUGAUUUGAAGUGUUCCUGUGAAUGGCCAGUAGACAGGAUAUAGAAACAGACAGGAAAUCAUAAAGUGGAGAAUGGUGUAUAAGAUGGAGUUUCAGCCUGGGGAAGUACAUAAAAUAAUGCCAUGUCAAGGUCAUAAGAACUUCGACAGUCAGGGAGAUGACAAAUAGAAAACUGAUUCAUAAAUCCUGAAAUAAAAUAUUACUACCUAAACUCUAAAUCAGAUGGCCACCAGGUCAAAAAUAAAUUACAAGGUGAAUCUAAUGUAGCUAUGUAAUUAAAAAUUGGCCAUGUUGAUGAGGCAAGAAAUUUUGGCAAUAACAGUAAUGAAGGUGUCAGGGCUCAGAAAAUGACAUGCCAAAUUAUGGCACUUUAGUGUGCUGAGUACUUUGAACUAAAGGAGAUUGGAAUGCCUCAGAAGCAAAGCCACUCUAUCCCCCACCUUUCUGUGUAGGUGUAUAGCAGAUGCAUCUGACAGCAAUAACUUAAGCAUACCCUGAGAAAGACCCUCAAGUCUAAGAAGAAUGUGUGUUUGGAGUUCUGAGCUAAGAAAUCCAGGAGUGGCAAACCUAGAGAUUCGCUCCUUGUCUAUGAAGGACAUAUGACCCCCUGGCCCAUGCCUUGGAAUGCAGGCCAUAUAGGGGAUUAAGGUCCUUUGUUUUGGGUUAUAUGGAGGUUGUUAGGUGGAGGGUGGUAGCAGGUUUUCAGUCCAGCCCACCACCACUGUACUGCCCCAUAUGUAAGUCCUCAGUAAACCCUAUGUGUCAUCUGCUGGUUCCGGGUCUCCUCUCUUCUUCCGCUUCUAGGACAUGGUGCUAUCCCUAUUGGAGUCAGUAGGUCUGGCACAACAGUAGGAGCUGGCCAUAAAGAAAUUCUCUGACCUACCUUGUCUGAUAGCAGGUCAUAAGAUCCUUAUUCCAGAGGGGUCCUGCCCCAUACCUGGGAGAAAGGAAUGCUACACAGAGGUCAAGGAGAAGCCAAACAAGCAGGACUUAAUGGGUUUCCCACUCCGUCUAUUGCCAUUAGAUCAUACAUUUUUUGUGUGGAAUCAUAUUUCUACAUGGUUGUCCAUUCUUCAUGAAAACUAAGAAUAAAAGUAGACAAUUUUCC